rnacentral:tRNA from 1 species
UCACUCUUAGUUCAGUUUGGUAGAGCAUGGGUCUCCAAAACCCGAUGUUGUAGGUUCAAAUCCUUCAGAGCGUG